AACGAACGCUGGCGGCAUGCCUAACACAUGCAAGUCGAACGAGACCUUCGGGUCUAGUGGCGCACGGGUGCGUAACGCGUGGGAACCUGCCCUUAGGUUCGGAAUAACUCCCCGAAAGGGGUGCUAAUACCGGAUAAUGUCUUCGGACCAAAGAUUUAUCGCCUUUGGAUGGGCCCGCGUUGGAUUAGCUAGUUGGUAGGGUAAAAGCCUACCAAGGCGACGAUCCAUAGCUGGUCUGAGAGGAUGAUCAGCCACACUGGGACUGAGACACGUCCCAGACUCCUACGGGAGGCAGCAGUGGGGAAUAUUGGACAAUGGGCGAAAGCCUGAUCCAGCAAUGCCGCGUGAGUGAUGAAGGCCUUAGGGUUGUAAAGCUCUUUUACCCGGGAUGUUAAUGACAGUACCGGGAGAAUAAGCUCCGGCUAACUCCGUG
rnacentral:rRNA from 1 species